rnacentral:rRNA from 1 species
GGCGGCGUGGCUAUACAUGCAAGUCGAGCGGACUGAUGGGAGCUUGCUCCCUGAAGUCAGCGGCGGACGGGUGAGUAACACGUGGGUAACCUGCCUGUAAGACUGGGAUAACUCCGGGAAACCGGGGCUAAUACCGGAUAGUUCUUUUCCUCGCAUGAGGAAAAGUGGAAAGGCGGCUUCGGCUGCCACUUACAGAUGGACCCGCGGCGCAUUAGCUAGUUGGUGAGGUAACGGCUCACCAAGGCAACGAUGCGUAGCCGACCUGAGAGGGUGAUCGGCCACACUGGGACUGAGACACGGCCCAGACUCCUACGGGAGGCAGCAGUAGGGAAUCUUCCGCAAUGGACGAAAGUCUGACGGAGCAACGCCGCGUGAGUGAUGAAGGUUUUCGGAUCGUAAAGCUCUGUUGUUAGGGAAGAACAAGUGCCGUUCGAAUAGGGCGGCACCUUGACGGUACCUAACCAGAAAGCCACGGCUAACUACGUGCCAGCAGCCGCGGUAAUACGUAGGUGGCAAGCGUUGUCCGGAAUUAUUGGGCGUAAAGCGCGCGCAGGCGGUCUCUUAAGUCUGAUGUGAAAGCCCACGGCUCAACCGUGGAGGGUCAUUGGAAACUGGGGGACUUGAGUACAGAAGAGGAAAGU